GAAGAUAAGACGGAUUAGCGGCGGACGGGUGAGUAACACGUGAGUAACCUGCCUUUUACACAGGGAUAGCCUCGGGAAACCGGGAUUAAAACCUGAUGAAACUAUCAAAUCACAUGAUUAAGAAAGUUAAAACUCCGGUGGUAAAAGAUGGACUCGCGUCCCAUUAGCUAGUUGGUGAAGGUAACGGCCCACCAAGGCAACGAUGGGUAGCCGGCCUGAGAGGGUGAACGGCCACAUUGGAACUGAGAAACGGUCCAAACUCCUACGGGAGGCAGCAGUC
rnacentral:rRNA from 1 species